GACGGUCGGACACUUUUGUCUCGUGGUGCACGGCGUGUGAGCAGUGUGAGCGUCAGGAUGUUCGCGUUAGUGCGAUUCUUGAACAGUUUUGAUAAGAAAGAGUAUAUAAUACCUGCCAAUAACAUUAAGGACUUUUACCCAGAAAGCAAGGAGGACUUCAUUAAAAGUAAAGUCUACAGGACAGAGUGGGUUGAUCAUGAAGACCCGGAAAACACAGGAUCGUACACGUGUAGAAUUCUGCUGCUGGCAGACUCGGAACAAGAGCUACAUAAACAAAGGGGCAGCAAGCGCCUUCCACGGCCUCUGAUACACCAGUCAGAUAUUGACCAAGAGGAAGAGCUCAUUGACCUGCAGCUGUCAGCAGUAAACACCAAGCAGACUGCAAAACAGGUAC
rnacentral:lncRNA from 1 species